GCUCUCGGCGUUAGCGCCAUUUUCUUGGAAACCUCUGCGCCAUGAGAGCCAAGUGGAGGAAGAAGCGAAUGCGCAGGCUGAAGCGCAAAAGAAGAAAGAUGAGGCAGAGGUCCAAGUAAACCGCUAGCUUGUUGCACUGUGGAGGCCACAGGAGCAGAAACAUGGAAUGCCAGACGCUGGGGAUGCUGGUACAAGUUGUGGGACUGCAUGCCACUGUCUAGAGCUUGUCUCAAUGGAUCUAGAACUUCAUCGCCCUCUGAUCGCCGAUCACCUCUGAGACCCACCUUGCUCAUAAACAAAAUGCC
rnacentral:lncRNA from 1 species